rnacentral:rRNA from 1 species
AGCGAACGCUGGCGGCAGGCUUAACACAUGCAAGUCGAACGCCCGUAGCAAUACGGGAGUGGCAGACGGGUGAGUAACGCGUGGAACAUGCCCUUUGGUUCGGAAUAACUCAGGGAAACUUGAGCUAAUACCGGAUAAGCCCGAGAGGGGAAAGAUUUAUCGCCGAAGGAUUGGCCCGCGUCCGAUUAGCUAGUUGGUGAGGUAAUGGCUCACCAAGGCGACGAUCGGUAGCUGGUCUGAGAGGAUGAUCAGCCACACUGGGACUGAGACACGGCCCAGACUGCUACGGGAGGCAGCAGUGGGGAAUAUUGGACAAUGGGGGCAACCCUGAUCCAGCCAUGCCGCGUGAGUGAUGAAGGCCCUAGGGUUGUAAAGCUCUUUCGGCGGGGACGAUAAUGACGGUACCCGCAGAAGAAGCCCCGGCUAACUUCGUGCCAGCCGCCGCAGUAAUAC